UAGGGAAUCUUCCACAAUGGGCGAAAGCCUGAUGGAGCAACGCCGCGUGUGUGAAGAAGGGUUUCGGCUCGUAAAACUCUGUUGUUAAAGAAGAACAUAUCUGAGAGUAACUGUUCAGGUAUUGACGGUAUUUAACCAGAAAGCCACGGCUAACUACGUGCCAC
rnacentral:rRNA from 1 species